AUCCACCUGACGAAUCCCAAACAAGACGAAAUGCGCAUCCUAGAU
rnacentral:hammerhead_ribozyme from 1 species